UAUCUGAAUUCAUCACCAGAUCU
rnacentral:miRNA from 1 species